GAUGAACGCUGGCGGCGUGCCUAAUACAUGCAAGUCGAGCGAACAGACGAGGAGCUUGCUCCUCUGACGUUAGCGGCGGACGGGUGAGUAACACGUGGAUAACCUACCUAUAAGACUGGGAUAACUUCGGGAAACCGGAGCUAAUACCGGAUAAUAUUUUGAACCGCAUGGUUCAAAAGUGAAAGACGGUUUUGCUGUCACUUAUAGAUGGAUCCGCGCUGCAUUAGCUAGUUGGUAAGGUAACGGCUUACCAAGGCAACGAUGCGUAGCCGACCUGAGAGGGUGAUCGGCCAAACUGGAAAUGAGACACGGUCCGGAAUACUAAGGGGGGCAGCAGUAGGGAAUCUUCCGAAAUGGGCGAAAGCCUGACGGAGAAACGCCGCGUGAGUGAUGAAGGUCUUCGGAUCGUAAAACUCUGUUAUUAGGGAAGAACAGAGGUGUAGUAACUGUGCACAUCUUGACGGUACCUAAUCAGAAAGCCACGGCUAACUACGUG
rnacentral:rRNA from 1 species